GACGAACGCUGGCGGCGUGCUUAACACAUGCAAGUCGAACGGAAAGGCCCCUUUUGGGGUACUCGAGUGGCGAACGGGUGAGUAACACGUGUGUAACCUGCCCUUUACUUCGGGUUUACUUCCGGAAACUGGGGCUUAUACCGGUUAGGAAUCCUUUCUCCCUGUUGGGGGUUGGAAAGCUUCGGUGGUUUUGGAUUGACUCGCGGCGUAUCAGCUUGUUGGUGGGGUAGUGGCUUACCAAGGCUUUGUCGGGUAGCCGGCCUGAGAGGGCGACCGGCCACAGAGGGACUGAGAGACGGCCGAGACGCCUACGGGAGGAAGAAGGGGGGAAUAUGGCACAAUGGGCGGAAGCCUGAUGCAGCAAGGCCGCGUGCGGGAAGACGGCGUUCGGGUUGGAAACCGCAAUCAGCAGGGGCGAAGCUUGUGGUGACGGUACCUGCAGAAGAAGCACCGGCUAACUACGUG
rnacentral:rRNA from 1 species